rnacentral:rRNA from 1 species
AGUGAACGCUGGCGGUAGGCCUAACACAUGCAAGUCGAACGGCAGCACAGUAAGAGCUUGCUCUUACGGGUGGCGAGUGGCGGACGGGUGAGGAAUACAUCGGAAUCUACUUUUUCGUGGGGGAUAACGUAGGGAAACUUACGCUAAUACCGCAUACGACCUACGGGUGAAAGCAGGGGAUCUUCGGACCUUGCGCGAUUGAAUGAGCCGAUGUCGGAUUCGCUAGUUGGCGGGGUAAAGGCCCACCAAGGCGACGAUCCGUAGCUGGUCUGAGAGGAUGAUAAGCCACACUGGAACUGAGACACGGUCCAGACUCCUACGGGAGGCAGCAGUGGGGAAUAUUGGACAAUGGGCGCAAGCCUGAUCCAGCCAUACCGCGUGGGUGAAGAGGGCCUUCGGGUUGUAAAGCCCUUUUGUUGGGAAAGAAAAGCAGCAGGUUAAUACCCCGCUGUUCUGACGGUACCCAAAGAAUAAGCACCGGCUAACUUCGUG